rnacentral:rRNA from 1 species
AUUGAACGCUGGCGGCAGGCCUAACACAUGCAAGUCGAACGAGUGGCGGACGGGUGAGUAAUGUCUGGGAAACUGCCUGAUGGAGGGGGAUAACUACUGGAAACGGUAGCUAAUACCGCAUACCAUCGGAUGUGCCCAGAUGGGAUUAGCUUGUUGGUGGGGUAACGGCGCACCCAGGCGACGAUCCCUAGCUGGUCUGAGAGGAUGAAGAGGCACAGUGGAACUGAGAAACGGUCCAGACGCCUACGGGAGGCAGCAGGGGGGAAUAUUGCACAAUGGGCGCAAGCAUGAUGCAGCCAUGCCGCGGGUAUGAAGAAGGCCUUCGGGUUUUAAAGUACUUGCAGCGGGGAGGCGUUAACCGAAGAAGAAGCACCGGCUAACGCCGUGCCAUCAGCCGCGGUAAUUC